UCCGCUCGAUAAUUUUGUAACUCUAUUUCCUUUCCUUAUCGCGGUGGGUUAGACUUGACCUCACUACAUUACAUUGUGAACGUGUUGUGUAACUUGGGAUUUUUAAUUGAUCUUGCAUUUUGUAAGUAGAAAUGGCUCAAGAAAACGAAUUGCCGAGCAAGGAAAGAGCGGUUUCAGGAGAUGAUAUGUCGUUGACAUCUACAGAUAGGAGUAAAGUUUUAACCGAAAAUAUUCAAUCGAAUGG